CUGGUUAGCAUACCAACUCAACAUUUAUUUAGUUGUUACUUGUUAAUAGUGUAACUCUUAUUUAUAUUACAUUAAUGUAGUUGUGUGUUAGGUGACUUAGGUUUACUUAUCAUAUAUUUAAGUACUUUAAAACGUUAAUAUGUUGUUAAAUUUAAAUAAUUUUAAUUAAAAGAAAACUCUA